rnacentral:rRNA from 1 species
AUUGAACGCUGGCGGCAUGCUUUACACAUGCAAGUCGAACGGUAACAGGUUAAGCUGACGAGUGGCGAACGGGUGAGUAAUGCAUCGGAACGUGCCCGAUCGUGGGGGAUAACGCAGCGAAAGCUGCGCUAAUACCGCAUACGAUCUGAGGAUGAAAGCGGGGGACCGUAAGGCCUCGCGCGAUCGGAGCGGCCGAUGUCAGAUUAGGUAGUUGGUGGGGUAAAGGCCCACCAAGCCGACGAUCUGUAGCUGGUCUGAGAGGACGACCAGCCACACUGGGACUGAGACACGGCCCAGACUCCUACGGGAGGCAGCAGUGGGGAAUUUUGGACAAUGGGCGAAAGCCUGAUCCAGCAAUGCCGCGUGCAGGAAGAAGGCCUUCGGGUUGUAAACUGCUUUUGUACGGAGCGAAGAGGCCCUUUCUAAUACAGGGGGCUCAUGACGGUACCGUAAGAAUAAGCACCGGCUAACUACGUGCCAGCAGCCGCAGUAACAC